rnacentral:rRNA from 1 species
ANUGCAGUCGANCGGACGACGGGAGCUUGCUCCCUUAGGUCAGCGGCGGACGGGUGAGUNNACGUGGGUAACCUGCCUGUAAGACUGGGAUAACUCCGGGAAACCGGGGCUAAUACCGGAUGCUUGAUUGAACCGCAUGGUUCAAUCAUAAAAGGUGGCUUUNAGCUACCACUUACAGAUGGACCCGCGGCGCAUUAGCUAGUUGGUGAGGUAACGGCUCACCAAGGCGANGAUGCGUAGCCGACCUGAGAGGGUGAUCGGCCACACUGGGACUGANACACGGCCCAGACUCCUACGGGAGGCAGCAGUAGGGAAUCUUCCGCAAUGGACGAAAGUCUGACGGANCAACGCCGCGUGAGUGAUGAAGGUUUUCGGAUCGUAAAACUCUGUUGUUAGGGAAGAACAAGUACCGUUCGAAUAGGGCGGCACCUUGACGGUACCUAACCAGAAAGCCACGGCUAACUACGUGCCAGCAGCCGCGGUAAACGUAGGUNGCAAGCGUUGUCCGGAAUUAUUGGGCGUNAAGCGCGCGCAGGCGGUUUCUUAAGUCUGAUGUGAAAGCCCCCGGCUCAACCGGGGAGGGUCAUUGGAAACUGGGGAACUUGAGUGCAGAAGANGANNNUGGAAUUCCACGUGUANCGGUGAAAUGCGUNNAGAUGUGG